rnacentral:rRNA from 1 species
GAAGGGCCGGCGAGCUUACCAUGCAGUCGAACGAUGAAGCCCAGCUUGCUGGGUGGAUUAGUGGCGAACGGGUGAGUAACACGUGAGUAACCUGCCCUUAACUCUGGGAUAAGCCUGGGAAACUGGGUCUAAUACCGGAUAGGAGCGUCCACCGCAUGGUGGGUGUUGGAAAGAUUUAUCGGUUUUGGAUGGACUCGCGGCCUAUCAGCUUGUUGGUGAGGUAAUGGCUCACCAAGGCGACGACGGGUAGCCGGCCUGAGAGGGUGACCGGCCACACUGGGACUGAGACACGGCCCAGACUCCUACGGGAGGCAGCAGUGGGGAAUAUUGCACAAUGGGCGCAAGCCUGAUGCAGCGACGCCGCGUGAGGGAUGACGGCCUUCGGGUUGUAAACCUCUUUCAGUAGGGAAGAAGCGAAAGUGACGGUACCUGCAGAAGAAGCACCGGCUAACUACGUGCCAGCAGCCGCGGUAAUACGUAGGGUGCGAGCGUUAUCCGGAAUUAUUGGGCGUAAAGAGCUCGUAGGCGGUUUGUCGCGUCUGUCGUGAAAGUCCGGGGCUUAACCCCGGAUCUGCGGUGGGUACGGGCAGACUAGAGUGCAGUAGGGGAGACUGGAAUUCCUGGUGUAGCGGUGGAAUGCGCAGAUAUCAGGAGGAACACCGAUGGCGAAGGCAGGUCUCUGGGCUGUAACUGACGCUGAGGAGCGAAAGCAUGGGGAGCGAACAGGAUUAGAUACCCUGGUAGUCCAUGCCGUAAACGUUGGGCACUAGGUGUGGGGACCAUUCCACGGUUUCCGCGCCGCAGCUAACGCAUUAAGUGCCCCGCCUGGGGAGUACGGCCGCAAGGCUAAAACUCAAAGGAAUUGACGGGGGCCCGCACAAGCGGCGGAGCAUGCGGAUUAAUUCGAUGCAACGCGAAGAACCUUACCAAGGCUUGACAUGUUCUCGAUCGCCGUAGAGAUACGGUUUCCCCUUUGGGGCGGGUUCACAGGUGGUGCAUGGGUUGUCGUCAGCUCGUGUCGUGAGAUGU